ACCGGCACUGAGAGGACAUAACACCAGACAGCCGCUCCUCGGCCCCGCGAAACGACAACUUUCCUACCAUCUUGGAGCUAGCGAGAGGGGGGCAGGGGCGCUCCGGGCGCCGCGCCGCUGCCCAGGCCGUGUAAAUAGAACUUUGGACUGUCCAGGAGGAAAUAAGACUCAGCGGUUCCUUGUUGUUUUUUUUUUGUUUGUUUGUUAUGUUUUGUUUGCCUUCACCCACCCCCUGAUCUUCGGUGCAAAGAGAUGUAGAAAGUCUUAGGAACUCUCGCUCAUCUAAGUUGACAGCAGACUACUGCGGGUUUCAGCCAUUAUCAGUCACCUAGAAGUUGCAAGCAGCUGCAGGUUCACAGUAACAGAAUUAUGGACUUAACUUUGGUCUGGGAUUCCUGCCCUUGGUUAUUACUCUGCAAACUUCAAAUUGGUCUGGAGGUUGAAGCUGAAACCCUACUCUACUCUUGGAGUAACAGCCACACAGCUAUGCUUUGCUUCUGAACUUGGUGCCUGCUCAGGACACAGAUUAACUCUCAGACCAUUUAGAGUUAUAGAGGGCUAUGAUCUACUUUGGGGACUAUCGACACACACAGAUAAAGUCACAAGUCUUCUAUGUCUGCUAGUGGAUGAAAGAAAUGUAAAGAACUUAGACAACAGAGAGAGAGCCCCAGCUCGGCCCCUCUUCCUCCCACCAUCAAACGUCAGGUGAUGCCAAAGAAAAGCUGCAUGGCCUUGUCCUCAGAGGCCUUCUCCUCAUGGUGGAACUUUCCUAUAGUACAUACCAUCAAUAAAGUGUAACUGCUACCCUUUUCCAUCCUUGACCCCCCCAAGGAUGUUGUUCCUCUGCUUCCUUUCUUCCAGGUCGCAUGAAGCCUGAAGCAGCAAAUUAUUUGGGUGACCAUAAUCGAGUUGGCAGUAGCACUGGCCUAAACUGGAGAAACUGUCUGAAUUUACAUAUAUCAGAAGUUUCCCAUGGUUUGAGCUCCGAUGAGACCCAGGGUGGCAGCCAUAUAGGGCAAUGAGGGUUAAGUGGCUUGCCCAGGAUCACACGGCUAGUAAGUGUCAAGUGUCUGGGGCCGGAUUUGAAUUCAAGUCCUCCUGAAUCCAGGGUCGGUACUUUAUCCAUUACACCACCUAGCUGCCUAAAAUGUGACUUUUCUUUCCAAACAUCCACUGGAAUGGUUAUUGUUUCUAAAACUAUCAAGUUAAUAUGCAAACUGUAUCCAAACCCCAGAAUUGGAUAUUGCACAUAAUGCAUAAAACAGAAAGUUUUGAAAUUAGAAUAUGGGUAAA